rnacentral:rRNA from 1 species
UACGAAGGGGGCUAGCGUUGCUCGGAAUCACUGGGCGUAAAGCGCACGUAGGCGGCUUUCUAAGUCAGGGGUGAAAUCCUGGAGCUCAACUCCAGAACUGCCUUCGAUACUGCGGGUCUCGAGUCCGGGAGAGGUGAGUGGAAUUCCUAGUGUAGAGGUGAAAUUCGUAGAUAUUAGGAAGAACACCAGUGGCGAAGGCGGCUCACUGGCCCGGUACUGACGCUGAGGCGCGAAAGCGUGGGGAGCAAACAGG